GCCCGCUUAGCUUAAUCGGAUAGAGCGUCAGACUCUUAUGCAUGGACAGAGCAUAUCCCGACCGUAGGCAAUGCAAUCUGAAGGCUGCGAGUUUGACCCUCGCGGUGGGCU